AUGCACGCUGACACGGUAGGCAGUUGUAAAGUGUGUCCUCUGACACAUUGGUGCGGCUGGCUUCCGGGUUAAGCGAGCAGUGUGUAAAGAAGCAGUGCAGGUUGGCAGCGUUGUGUUUUGGAGGACGCAUGGCUCUCGACUUUCAUCUCUCCUGAGUCUGUACGGGAGUGGCACCGAUGGGACAAGACUGUAACUACCAAUUGGAUAUCAUGAAAAACGGGUAAAACUAACAAACCAUUUUGGGGGAAAGAAGUGAGAUCUAAUAUGCAACAACUAGCAUGGGUUGCUAAUAGGGUUUCGGUUAAAUGCGGAAGACACAUUUCAGUUGAAGGCAUUCAGUUGUACAACUGACUAAGUAUCCCCCUUUCCUUUCCUAAUAUGACUAUGAUUGUGGCUUUGGCUACUGGACAAUGAAAGAAAGUAUAUGGUCCGAUUUUGGAAAGGCUACUUUGAAGCAAGGACCGCCAUGCCUUGAAGCUGCCUUGGGUUCCAACCAGGACAAAAUGGCAUAAAUGGGAAGACAGCAGGGUGAUUCAUCAAAACGAGUUUUCCCCACCAUACAGGUCUUGGAUCACAUAAAGUAUGGAGAUAGAUUCCUGAAAACUCCCCAAGCAGCUGAUUGGUCGACCCCAGGCUAAUUGAUGAUUGGAGAGCUGACCCCGCCCCCUCCUCAAGAAGCAGCUGACUCUAAUCACCAUUGCCACCUGAAGAUAUAAAAGCCAGUGUUAUGUUCAGAAAUGAUUGGAGGUUAGAGGGAGAUUGAAUGUUUUGGAGGAAAGAUUAGAGGGAGAUUGAAUGUUUUGGAGGAAAGAUUAGAGGGAGAUUGAAUGUUUUGGAGGAAAGAUUAGAGGGAGAUUGAAUGUUUUGGAGGAAAGAUUAGAGGGAGAUUGAAUGUUUUGGAGGAAAGAUUAGAGGGAGAUUGAAUGUUUUGGAGGAAAGAUUAGAGGGAGAUUGAAUGUUUUGGAGAAAAGAUUAGAGGGAGAUUGAAUGUUUUGGAGAAAAGAUUAGAGGGAGAUUGAAUGUUUUGGAGAAAAGAUUAGAGGGAGAUUGAAUGUUUUGGAGAAAAGAUUAGAGGGAGAUUGAAUGUUUUGGAGAAAAGAUUAGAGGGAGAAUGAAUGUUUUGGAGAAAAGAUUAGAGGGAGAUUGAAUGUUUUGGAGAAAAGAUUAGAGGGAGAUUGAAUGUUUUGGAGAAAAGAUUAGAGGGAGAUUGAAUGUUUUGGAGAAAAGAUUAGAGGGAGAUUGAAUGUUUUGGAGAAAAGAUUAGAGGGAGAUUGAAUGUUUUGGAGAAAAGAUUAGAGGGAGAUUGAAUGUUUUGGAGAAAAGAUUAGAGGGAGAUUGAAUGUUUUGGAGAAAAGAUUAGAGGGAGAUUGAAUGUUUUGGAGAAAAGAUUAGAGGGAGAUUGAAUGUUUUGGAGAAAAGAUUAGAGGGAGAUUGAAUGUUUUGGAGAAAAGAUUAGAGGGAGAUUGAAUGUUUUGGAGAAAAGAUUAGAGGGAGAUUGAAUGUUUUGGAGAAAUCAUUAGAAAGAGCUCUGUGUUUUGUUGCUUUGUCAAAGCUUCUGGCCUGAGUUAGUUUACUCAGUUUUGUUGUAAAGUGUUUGUGAAAUUGUUAAUAAUUAUUCUGUUUCAUUUGUUCCCAGGGGGGAAGGGGAAGGCGCUUAGGCAAGAGGCCUGAGGGCAUACAUAUACCCGUAGUAUAUUCAAUGUCUAGGCACACUAGGUAAGAUCUGGGCGGACCACCCCCUGUAUUUUGGUUAGGGCACCAGGUGGUGCUAAGUUAGGUAAGUUAAGUGGGUAGGCAGGUUAGAUAGGAGAGGGGGAGCUUUGAUAUUUACUUUCUUUCCUUUGGUUCCGUCCAGCCCCUUUUCCCCAUAUUACCGUGUAGGAAA